ACCUGAUACUCCGCAUCAGAGAGCUUCAAUGCUGAUAUUCUGUCAUCUGCCUCGCGGAUAGCCCUGAACACAGUUGAUCGGAAACAAUAGCUAUUUUUUCGUUGAAAGAUGGGUCCCUACGUUUGAUACGGGCUCCAGAUGCUACCUUUCUAACAGCUUUAACUACUUUAGUAUUUGGUGCCCCAGAGUUAAGGCGUAACUUCCAAGGGGGGAUCGUGGGAGUUCUCGGUGUAUCCCGCUGGUGACCAAUCCGUUGCCCCAGCGUUUCACAGACCGUCACAGCACCCGCAUAAACAACCUCCACCAGCUCCUCAAGCGUCGUC